GAGCCAAUAGUGAUCGUGCGGUGCCUACGAGAACACGUUUCGGCUCGUCGGUCUCGUUCGCGGUACGUUCUCUGAUACUGUACGUGGAAACAUAAAACAAGAAAGAAAGAAAGAAAGAAAGACAGAGAGAGAGAGAGAGAAAGAGAGAGAGAAAGAGAGAGAGAGAGAGAGAGAGAGAGAGAGAGAGAGAGAGAUAGAAAUAGAGAGAAAGAAAGAAAGAGAAUAAGAGAGAAGUAGUACAAAGGGAAUCUCCAUCUUUGCCUGUUGGUCGGGUAGUCGUCAAGGUCGAACGGAAGGGAAAUCCGAGAGGGGAAGGAGAAACUCUCUUGGUCAUCGUUAUCGUCGUCAUCGCCGUCGUUAUUAUCGUCGACUACUAUCUCUUCAUUUGGUCAUUACCUAUUUGAAGGAGCUCAAGGAAAGCUGCAACUCUUCUUCGGCAACAGCAGGAUUCAGGGGCGAGAAGCGCGCAGGACGAGAGGAGAGAAGUGGAGAGGAAAGGAGCGGAGGGGAGGGGAGGGACUCGAAGCUACUCUUCGACGAAGACGUCGCGAGCUUAGCGGCUCAUUUUUCGAAGGAGACGUUGUCAUCGUGGGUGAGGAGAGGCGAGGAACGCCAUGCCGGCAGGUAUUGGCGCUUCGUACAGGUCGUUAGGCGACCUGGGCGAAGACGUUUACAAAAGCACGACGAUCGUCGACCAGACCCAGAGCACCGGUCAAAGCGUACUCGAGAGUGUCAAGAAGGCUUUCAGCUUCGCUUCGCCUAAAGUGGAAAUCAGGAAGAAGGAUCCAUUGAUCGAGGAUCGACGAGAAAGCGUCUCGAUCGUAUCAAGGGACAGAAACAAGAUGCCGACCGCCGCCACCGCUGAGAAAACUGCACUUUUGGGCACGAUGCCUUCGUGCAUGCGAGAUAGUAUGGACGAUAUCGAGCUGAAGAAUAUUCAGCUACAGUUUCCGGCGCUGAGGUAUUUGUCGAGAGACGAUAGUUCCGUACGAGAAGAAAGAGUAGAAACCGAUAAAGGUAGUCUGCUUGUUGCCGUACAAGGAAACCAGGCAAAACCAGCGAUCCUCACCUACCACGAUUUAGGCCUUAAUUAUAUCUCGAGCUUCCAAGCAUUCUUCAAUUACAUCGACAUGCGCGUCCUUCUUGAAAAUUUUUGCGUCUAUCACGUUAACGCACCUGGUCAAGAGGAAAAUGCACCGGCACUCCAGGAGGAUUACGUUUAUCCGUCUAUGGAAGAGUUAGCAGAACAAUUGCUCUUUGUUCUCGGCCAUUUUACUUUGAGAUCUGUCAUUGGUUUCGGGGUUGGUGCGGGAGCCAAUAUAUUGGCUAGAUUUGCACUUGCACAUCCAGAAAAGGUCAACGCACUGUGCUUGAUCAAUUGCGUAUCUACGCAAGCAGGAUGGAUCGAAUGGGGUUACCAGAAGCUCAACGUACGUCAUCUGAGGUCACAGGGAAUGACGCAGAGCGUCCUUGAUUAUCUCAUGUGGCAUCAUUUUGGCAGGGGUACAGAAGAAAGAAACCACGAUCUCGUUCAAGUCUACAAGAAUUAUUUCGAGCAUCGCGUAAAUCCAAUAAAUCUAGCAUUGUUCAUCGACAGUUACGUGCGGCGUACUGAUUUGAACAUCACCAGAGAACUGGAUCCUACGCGCAAGAAGGAAGGAUUGACGCUUAGCGUACCAGUAAUGAACAUCACGGGUGCUCUGAGUCCGCACGUGGACGACACGGUCACGUUAAAUGGACGGUUAGAUCCAACGAACAGCACCUGGAUGAAGAUCUCCGAUUGCGGUAUGGUGCUCGAGGAACAACCGGGCAAAGUAAGCGAGGCCUUUCGACUGUUUCUUCAAGGCGAAGGAUAUGGUAAGUGAGUGCCGUCGCGAAAAACAAGUUAGAAUUAAAAUUAACAAGAAUAUAAUUCGGUAAUCCUCAUCGAUCUUCAUCCAUUCGACCGUACCGCACACGCGCAGGCAUACUUCAUAGGUGAAUUGCACGUGACCGUCUGGUAGCGGGGAAAAAUUUGCCUGUUACCUGCAUUUUACUGCCCCUGAGAACAGAACGCGGAGACUCGCAAAGGAUCGAGAAACUUCUGAGGACUCCCUUUUUUCAAGGCGCACUCGAAUAUCGAUCGGGAGUUUCUGUAAAUAGCUCGUACAAACACAUACAUACAUACAUAUGCAUAUGUAUAUCGUAUACGCCCAUACGGCAUCGAUCGAACUUUAUCUUUUUCUUUUUCUUUUUUAUACACCAGAUGGUCCCGUAUUUGCUUGAAGAAAUAUUUCUCCACGAGUUGUAUCAAAGAGAGGAAAGUUAAUUCGUGAACAUUCGUAGUCCUAAGUUUGUUUCCAUCAUCGAUUGGUAUAGAUCGUAUCGUAUCGCUAUCAGUAUUUUUGGCCUAAAGAGAGUAGUAUUGUACUGUAGAUAUGUAGUACAGCGUAUCUACGAUAACGACCAUUGACUAUCCUUUACUCUCGCGUUCCUCGAUAACUUUAAAGAUCGUUGACCAACGAACUUACGCUUUUAGAACACGGACGUACUCAGUAUAUCGAAAAGUUUUCAUUGUGCGGAUAUAGUACGUCUAAGUUUAUUUCAUAUUUUGUUAAAACAGAUGCCAGAGAUAAAAUGUAAGAAAUAAUUUCGCUAAAAGCGUCCAGCUCGUUAGAGUCGUCAAGAUUUUUGAAGGUUACUCCUAAAUUUCCGAAUAGAAGUUAUCCUUAGGACGAUUUUAAGGCGUUAAGUUCGAUAACGAAACGUUUUGAUUAGAAUUUUUAUUUUAAUAUCCGCUUUUGCAAGUGCAAUCUUCACGUAUAACAUAUUUUCAUUUUGGUUUGUUAUAAAAGAAAAGAAAAAAAGAACGUGUGAUACGCGUAUAAGAAUCAAAUCUAUAGUACGCAAAGGUAGUGGAAAUGAGCAACUUUCGAAUUUUUUCUUUCGUUUUUGGCUUUUUGAUCGCAGAAACACUAGCACCUGUCACAGAACACAUAGCAGCUUUUUUUUUAAAUCUCUAUCGGUCGAUGUCGACUAACGACACAUCGUUUUACGAUCUAAUUCGUGAUUAGAUGUUUCUUUUAUCGGUAUGACGCCAUUCGCUCUUUUUGAUCAUUUUCAAAUGAAUAGCGUACGCGUAAGCCAAGCAAAUUGAAAUGAGUUUGAGUUUGAUAUGAUGGACUAUGCAAUAGUUAGAAAAUCUGCGAAUGCUACCCAGUACGCCCAAGCUGUUGUUAAAUGCCAAUUUCGGUUGAUUAUCUCUGUCAUCGUCAUCAUCGCCAUUAUCGCCAUCAUCGUCAUCGUCAUCAUCGUCAUCGUCGUCAUCGUCAUCGUCGUUAAUUAUUGUUGUUGUUACGAUUUUCACUAUUAUAAUUCGCGUAAAGGUUUCAUGUUGUAUCAAUGAGGGGAUGUCCAUCGCGCUUGGAUCUUCGUGUUUUGAAGCUUUACGCUUGACAAUAUUGCGGCUAAUUGGAAAAUUACAAAAAAAAAGCUUAUAUGUGAUGCUUUUAUCGUUAUCGAAAAGUAAUUGAAAAUCGUUUGGUCGACAUCGUUGAUAUAUAGCAUGAUUUUGAGAGAAAUACCAAGAUCCAACUAGGUCCUUGAUCAUGUACUCUGUCCCGGCUAAUCACCGGCUCGACUUGAUAAAUAAAAGAGUAUUUAAAAAGGAAAGAAUCAAGUGAAUUCGUUUUUGCGUCUCACCACCAUUAUCAUUUUGUUUUUUGUGAGGUUCUUAAGAAAGAAAAAAAAAUUAUACUAACAAACAAAUAAACAAAUAUAUAUAUAUAUAUAUAAAAAAGAAAAGAGAAACAAAAGGCAAAUGAAAAAAGUACUUGUUCACCAACUUGCGCCUUUAUUUCCCACGCGUCUCGGAUCGAUCGAGUGCGGUGAGAUCCUCGCGGAAGCCCGUGACGCCGACAACACCCGAAGGUAAUUGUAAUUAGGAAUUGAAGGUCGCAAGGAGUCGAGCGCGCAGUUGGUCAAUUAGGCCACAUCUAUGUGUUAAGUAAGUCGGAAUUUAAACUUUUAUCGGAAAGUAUGAUAAAGAGAGAGGGAGAGAGACUAAUUGGCGAUUAUUGUAUUUUCGAUAACAAAUUGGGUAACCUGGGCUGCGUUUGUUGAGAGAAAAUCUUGUGAAAUAUUGAAACUAACCACCAGCUUUUCUUUUGGUAUCACACUACUACUUUUUGCGAAUUUGGAACUACGUGUAAUAUCUUCUAGUUGUUUGAGAUUCUUAAUCCUUAAAUUUAUCAAAAUAAUCGAUCACA